rnacentral:rRNA from 1 species
GUAUAAGAGGUCCCGCCUGCCCAGUGACAACUUAGUUCAACGGCCGCGGUAUUUUGACCGUGCAAAGGUAGCGUAAUCACUUGUCUUUUAAAUGAAGACCUGUAUGAAUGGCAUAACGAGGGCUUAACUGUCUCCUUCCCCUGGUCAAUGAAAUUGAUCUCCCCGUGCAGAAGCGGGGAUAAAACCAUAAGACGAGAAGACCCUAUGGAGCUUUAGACACACAGGUGGACCAUGUCAAAUACCCCCAGCUAAGGGCCUGAACUAAAUGGAACCUGCCUUGAUGUCUUCGGUUGGGGCGACCAUGGGGAAUACAAAACCCCCACGUGGAAAGGGAGCACACCCCUAAGUUACUUCUUCUCCCGCAAGCCAGAGCAACAGCUCUAACAAGCAGAAAUUCUGACCAAACUGAUCCGGUAAAACCGAUCAACGAACCAAGUUACCCUAGGGAUAACAGCGCAAUCCCCUUUUAGAGCCCAUAUCGACAAGGGGGUUUACGACCUCGAUGUUGGAUCAGGACAUCCUAAUGGUGCAGCCGCUAUUAAGGGUUCGUUUGUUCAACGAAUAAAGUCCUACGUGAUCUGA